UCUGACAUCAGGAUGUAUAGCACAGGAAAGCAGCUGUUCUGUUUUGGAGCCAUGGAAAUGCUUUGGAAUGGUUUUCGAGGAACAGUCAACAAACCUCCAGGUUAAGCCCAUAUUUAAUGAGAAUGCUGAUGGAUGAAGCCAUGACCGUAUGGGGAUUAUUACAGUGGACCAAGAUUCCAGAUUUUGUGCUUGAAGACACGGGCAAAGCAGGACCUACUUCAUGUCUAGCCCUGUGCUGGGGAUUGCUGGGUCUGCAGGAACUUAGCUCAUUUGGGAUCCUUGCAUCCCUCAUCAUCAUCAUCAUCAACACAGCCACCGUGAAAUGAAA